GCACUCACAUUGGCAGUAUAUAUACUAAAACUGGAACAACACAGAGAAGAUUAGCACGGCUCCUGUGCAAGGAUGACACGAAAAUGUGUAAAGCUUUCCGAAUUUUU